UACGUAGGGGGCAAGCGUUGUCCGGAUUUACUGGGCGUAAAGAGCGUGUAGGCGGCCAAACAGGUCCGUUGUGAAAACUGGAGGCUCAACCUCCAGACGUCGACGGAAACCGUAUGGCUAGAGUCCGGAAGAGGAGAAUGGAAUUCCUGGUGUAGCGGUGAAAUGCGCAGAUAUCAGGAAGAACACCCGUGGCUAAGGCGGUUCUCUAGUACGGUACUGACGCUGAGACGCGAAAGCGUGGGGAGCGAACAGG
rnacentral:rRNA from 1 species